GACGAACGCUGGCGGUGUGCUUAACACAUGCAAGUCGAACGGUAAGGCCCUUUCGGGGGUACACAAGUGGCGAACGGGUGAGUAACACGUGAGUAACCUGCCCUCAUCUCUGGGAUAACAGUCGGAAACGGUUGCUAAUACUGGAUAUGAGCUUGCAAGGCAUCUUGUGGGUUGGAAAGAUUUUUUUGGUUGGGGAUGGACUCGCGGCCUAUCAGCUUGUUGGUGAGGUAGUGGCUCACCAAGGCUUCGACGGGUAGCCGGCCUGAGAGGGCGACCGGCCACAUUGGGACUGAGAUACGGCCCAAACUCCUACGGGAGGCAGCAGUGGGGAAUAUUGCACAAUGGACGGAAGUCUGAUGCAGCAACGCCGCGUGCGGGAUGACGGCCUUCGGGUUGUAAACCGCUUUCAAUUGUGACGAAGCUUUUUGUGACGGUAGCAGUAGAAGAAGCACCGGCUAACUACGUG
rnacentral:rRNA from 1 species